rnacentral:rRNA from 1 species
GUGGGUAGGGGUGAAAGGCCAAUCAAACUCCGUGAUAGCUGGUUCUCCCCGAAAUAUAUUUAGGUAUAGCGUUCCAUUUUUGCUUGCGUGUGGUAGAGCUACUGGUUGGUUGAUGGGCCUUGUUGGUUACUGAGAUCUGCUAAACUCCGAAUGCGCGUUAAGUUGGUGGGGCAGUCAGACAGCGGGGGAUAAGCUUCGUUGUCGAGAGGGAAACAGCCCUGAUCAUCGGUUAAGGUCCCUAAGUGUGUGCUGAGUGGAAAAGGAUGUGUAGUUGCGUUGACAGCCAGGAGGUUGGCUUAGAAGCAGCCACCCUUGAAAGAGUGCGUAAUAGCUUACUGGUCGAGUGAUUGUGCGCCGAUAAUGUAGUGGGGCUUAAGCAUGCCACCGAAACUGUGACUACAAUGCUUUUGGUGUUGUGGGGUAGGGGAGCGUCCUGCAUUGUUGUAGCGGCCUGGUGAUGGGUCGUGUGUGGUGUGGGAGUGAGAAUGCAGGCAUGAGUAGCGAGUCCAGUGUGAGAAUCGCUGGCGCCGAUAAACUAAGGGUUCCAGGGGAAGGUUUAUCCGCCCUGGGUUAGUCGGGUCCUAAGGCGAGGCCGUCAGGCGUAGUCGAUGGUUGAGCAGUUGAUAUUCUGCUACCGGGAUCAGACCGUAUAUAGCGCUCAUUUCUUUGAGCUUGACGCCCUUUUCAGUUGUUGUUCCCUUUCGGGGGUUUAGCAUCUGUUGGGUUUUGGGUUUUUGGUUUGAGUGUUUUAGCUUCGUGGUGACACAGUGAGAUUGCCUGGCGCGGUGGUGGUUUACCGUGUUCAAGCCUGUAGCCUGUCUUCUAGGCAAAUCCGGAAGACGCAUAUGGUGAGGGGUGAUGGUGGGGCCCGUUUUUGGGUCGAUAACAGGGUUGGUCUGUACUGUCGAGAAAAGCUGCGUUGUGAGGUGUGUUUCCGCCCGUACCCUAAACCGACUCUGGUAGUUGGGUAGAGAAUACUAAGGCGAGCGAGUGAAUCGUGGUUAAGGAAUUCGGCAAAUUGCCUCCGUAACUUCGGGAGAAGGAGGCCCCACCCCUUGAAGAGCGUUUUCUGUUCUAGGGGGUGUGGGGUGCAAUAGCAAGAUGGAAGCGACUGUUUAUCAAAAACAUAGGUGCGUGCGAAGCUGUAAGGCGAGGUAUACGCACUGACGCCUGCCCGGUGCCGGAAGGUUAAGAGGAGCUGUCAGCCUUUUUUGGCGAAGCGGUGAAUUUAAGCCCCGGUAAACGGCGGUGGUAACUAUAACCAUCCUAAGGUAGCGAAAUUCCUUGUCGGGUAAGUUCCGACCUGCACGAAUGGCGUAACGACUUCUGUGCUGUCUUGACCGCGAACUCGGCGAAAUUGCAUUACGAGUAAAGAUGCUCGUUACGCGCAGCAGGACGGAAAGACCCCGGGACCUUUACUAUAGCUUGGUAUUGGUGGCUGGUUGUGUUUGUGUAGGAUAGGUGGGAGACGUUGAAGCAGUCACGCUAGUGGUUGUGGAGUCGGCAAGUGAAAUACCACUCUGAUGUUGCUGGUUAUCUGAACCUGGACCCAUUAUCUGGGUUAGGGACAGUGCCUGGUGGGUAGUUUAACUGGGGCGGUUGCCUCCUAAAUGGUAACGGAGGCGCUCAAAGGUUUCCUCAUCCUGGUUGGUAAUCAGGGUUCGAGUGUAAGUGCACAAGGAAGCUUGACUGUGACACUGACGGGUGGAGCAGGUACGAAAGUAGGAACUAGUGAUCCGGCAAUGGCUUAUGGAAGCGUUGUCGCUCAACGGAUAAAAGGUACCCCGGGGAUAACAGGCUGAUCUUGCCCAAGAGUCCAUAUCGACGGCAUGGUUUGGCACCUCGAUGUCGGCUCGUCGCAUCCUGGGGCUGGAGUUGGUCCCAAGGGUUGGGCUGUUCGCCCAUUAAAGCGGUACGCGAGCUGGGUUCAGAACGUCGUGAGACAGUUCGGUCCCUAUCCGCUGCGCGCGUUAAGACUUGAGAAAGUCCUGUCCCUAGUACGAGAGGACCGGGAUGGACGAACCUCUGGUGUGCCAGUUGUACCGCCAGGUGCAUGGCUGGUUGGCUAUGUUCGGAAAGGAUAACCGCUGAAAGCAUCUAAGCGGGAAGCCUGCUUUAAGAUGAGGUCUUUUAGGUUCCCAGCAGACUACUGGGUAGAUAGGCCAGAAGUGUACACGUUGUAAAACGCAAAGCUGACUGGUACUAAACAACCAUUAAAAAACA